GAUCCUGGCUCAGAAUCAACGCUGGCGGCGUGCCUAACACAUGCAAGUCGAACGAGAAAGUGGAGCAAUCCAUGAGUAAAGUGGCGCACGGGUGAGUAACACGUGACUAACCUACCCUUGAGUGGGGGAUAACCUCGGGAAACCUUGGCUAAUACCGCAUAACACCUACGGGUCAAAGGAGCAAUUCGCUUAAGGAGGGGGUCGCGGCAGAUUAGCUAGUUGGCGGGGUAAUGGCCCACCAAGGCGGUGAUCUGUAUCCGGCCUGAGAGGGCGCACGGACACACUGGAACUGAAACACGGUCCAGACUCCUACGGGAGGCAGCAGUGGGGAAUUUUGCGCAAUGGGGGAAACCCUGACGCAGCAACGCCGCGUGGAGGAUGAAGUCCCUUGGGACGUAAACUCCUUUCGACCGGGACGAUUAUGACGGUACCGGAAGAAGAAGCCCCGGCUAACUUCGUGCCAGCAGCCGCGGUAAUACGAGGGGGGCGAGCGUUGUUCGGAAUUAUUGGGCGUAAAGGGUGCGUAGGCGGUUCGGUAAGUUUCGUGUGAAAUCUUCGGGCUCAACUCGAAGCCUGCACGAAAUACUGCCGGGCUUGAGUAUGGGAGAGGUGAGUGGAAUUUCCGGUGUAGCGGUGAAGUGCGUAGAUAUCGGAAGGAACACCUGUGGCGAAAGCGGCUCACUGGACCAU
rnacentral:rRNA from 1 species